rnacentral:rRNA from 1 species
AACGAACGCUGGCGGCAUGCCUAACACAUGCAAGUCGAACGAGACCUUCGGGUCUAGUGGCGCACGGGUGCGUAACGCGUGGGAACCUGCCUUUAGGUUCGGAAUAACUCAGAGAAAUUUGAGCUAAUACCGGAUAAUGUCUUCGGACCAAAGAUUUAUCGCCUUUAGAUGGGCCCGCGUUGGAUUAGCUAGUUGGUGGGGUAAAGGCCUACCAAGGCGACGAUCCAUAGCUGGUCUGAGAGGAUGAUCAG